AGGCCGUGAUGGGGGCACUUGCGUAAUAGCUCCUUGAACCUUUCCCAAGCUUCAUAUAAGGAUUCCCCGUCCUCUUGUGAGUAUGUAUUAAUUUCAGCCAUUAAUUU
rnacentral:snoRNA from 1 species